rnacentral:rRNA from 1 species
GACGAACCGUCCUAACGUUGUUCGGAAUCACUGGGCUUAAAGGGCGCGUAGGCGGGUCAGCAAGUCCGGGGUGAAAUCUUUCGGCUUAACCGGAAAAGUGCCUUGGAUACUGCUGGUCUAGAGGGAGGUAGGGCAUGUGGAACUUCCGGUGGAGCGGUGAAAUGCGUUGAUAUCGGAAGGAACGCCGGUGGCGAAAGCGACGUGCUGGAUCUCUUCUGACGCUGAGGCGCGAAAGCCAGGGGAGCAAACGGG